rnacentral:rRNA from 1 species
UACAGAGGUCUCAAGCGUUGUUCGGAUUCAUUGGGCGUAAAGGGUGCGUAGGUGGCGCCGUCAGUCAGGGGUGAAAUUUCGGAGCUCAACUCCGAAACUGCAUUUGAUACUGCGGUGCUAGAGGACUGGAGAGGAGACUGGAAUUCACGGUGUAGCAGUGAAAUGCGUAGAUAUCGUGAGGAAGACCAGUGGCGAAGGCGGGUCUCUGGACAGUUCCUGACACUGAGGCACGAAGGCCAGGGGAGCAAACGGG